GGGUCUGCCUUUCCCAGCCCCACUGACUCAAAUUUAGUAGAGAUGGGGUUUCACCAUGUGGGCCAGGCUGGUUGUGAACUCCUGACCUCAAGUGAUCCGCCUCAGCCUCCCAAAGUGCUGGGAUUACAGGUAUGAGCCACUGUGUCCAGCCCAUAAGAAAAUAAUUUUAACUGUCACUGCAUAGUUUAUAAACCGCUUUCACAGAAGGGCCAGUGAAUAAGAAGGCUUCUUAGUGGAAUCCCUCCUCUUUCUUUGCUUAUGUGAAUUUUUCUGUUUAGUAAUCCCUUUAUUUUCUCUUUUCCACUAAUUAAUGAGCAGUACUUCCUUUAAGACUUGGCUCAAAACAUAUCUCUAUUUACCUACUAUUUACUGUGAUCAACUUUGUGCAAGUCAUGUUCUAGGAAGUGCAGAGGACACAAAUAUGGAUCAGGUGUGGUCCCUGCCCUCAAGACUCUUAGAACCUAGUGGUGAGGAGGAGAAAGGGAUAUUAGUUCACAUAUCAUACAGGGUGCAAAUGAAUACCUUGGAAGUUCACUUUUUGUUAUUUGUGUGAGGGAAAUCCUCACCUGUCGGGAAGGAGACUAAGGCAUUUCCAACAGGUAUCUUCUUUUUACUUUGAGAAGCCGUGGAGCACAGAGCAAUGUUUCUCAAAGUGUGGGCCCUGCACCACCUGGGAUAUGUAUUAAAUUUGCAGACUCAUAGGCCGGGCAUGGUGGCUCACGUCUGUCAUCCCAGCACUUUGGGGGCCAAGGU
rnacentral:lncRNA from 1 species